AGUCAAAAACGUGGACCAGAGGACAGGGUUGGCUGUGAUAAAAUCUGUGCCCACCUCCCUGCCCAGGACACAUGAGGCGAUAUGGGCAGCAGCGUUAUUGAAAAAAGCCCCUACAGAAGAGUGUGACGACAGUUCGGCCGUUCACAGUAAUGAAUCAUCUUGCAGCUUGCCAUCUAUUCUGAAUGACAGUAGUGGAAUAAAGGAAGCGAAACCCACUCUAUGGCUCAACAGUGUUCUUACAAGGGAACAAGACGUUUCAAGUGGCUGCGGAGACGAGG